rnacentral:rRNA from 1 species
CAUGCAAGUCGAACGGUAACGACCUUACCACUUUCGGGUGAUAAGGGGCGACGAGUGGCGGACGGGUGAGUAACGCAUAGGAAUCUGCCCAGUAGUAGGGGACAACCUGGGGAAACCCAGGCUAAUACCGCAUACGCCCUACGGGGGAAAGCGGGGGAUCUUCGGACCUCGCGCUAUUGGAUGAGCCUAUGUCUGAUUAGCUUGUUGGUAGGGUAACGGCCUACCAAGGCAACGAUCAGUAGCUGGUCUGAGAGGAUGAUCAGCCACACUGCGACUGAGACACGGCGCAGACUCCUACGGGAGGCAGCAGUGGGGAAUAUUGCACAAUGGGCGCAAGCCUGAUGCAGCAAUGCCGCGUGUGUGAAGAAGGCCUGCGGGUUGUAAAGCACUUUCAGUAGCGAAGAAAAGCUCUAGGUUAAUAGCCUUGGGUCUUGACGUUAGCUACACAAGAAGCACCGGCUAACUCCGUGCCAGCAGCCGCGGUAAUACGGAGGGUGCGAGCGUUAAUCGGAAUUACUGGGCGUAAAGCGCGCGUAGGCGGUUUGGUAAGUCGGAUGUGAAAUCCCCGAGCUUAACUUGGGAAUUGCAUUCGAUACUGCCUGACUAGAAUGUGAUAGAGGUAAGUGGAAUUCCCGGUGUAGCGGUGAAGUGCGUAGAUAUCGGGAGGAACAUCAGUGGCGAAGGCGGCUUACUGGAUCAACAUUGACG